CAUGAGGUGAAACGGAGACGUAAACCUGAGGAUACAAAGGAGAACAAACGACGGAAACAAACCUUCAAAUACCAUGUACAGCAAGCAGGCCAGAGAUUGAAUGUGUGCAAGGUUACUUUCAUGUCUGUGUUCCAGCUAACCAACAGCCGUCUUCAGGCCACAUCGGAUACAUGCUACAGUGAAAGAGGGCAUCAAGGAGCACAUUCUAUCUUUCCCAAGAACCCAGAACCACUACUCACGGAUGAAGGGGGAUGUACACAGAGAAUACCUCAGCCCUGAUCUGAAUUUGUUGCGAAUGUACCGACUCUACAAAGAGAAUAAUACCACAUCAUCUGCAAAAUUCUGGGUUUAUAGGGACAUUUUCAAACAGCAGAGUCUCAAUUUCGGCCAACCCAGGAGUGACACCUGUGGCAAAUGUGACGCAUUCUUCACUAAGAUGUCAGCAGCAACAUCUGAAGAGGAGAAGAGGAAGAUUGCAGUUGAAAGUGAGUUACACCAUCGAAAAGCCGAAAAGGCCUACACACAGCUUCAAAGUGACACUGAGUGGGCUAAAGCCAAUGCUGACUGCCAUGUCAUUUAUGUGGAUCUACAGGGGGUGAUGUACACCCCUAAUCUGACCCACUCCAAUGUCUACUACCAGCGGCAGCUGUCAAAUUUUAACUUUUGCAUCCAGGAACUUGGAAAAGAAGAUCCUGCAUACAUGUGUGUUUGGCAUGAGGGGAUUGCACACCGAGGGUCCAUUGAGGUGGCAAGCUGCAUAAUGAAGUGGGUGAAGACAAAAUUCACGCCACUCACCAAACCAGAGGUGCGCAAGUUGAUCAUAUUCAGUGACAGAUGCUGUGGGCAGAAUAACAACUGGCGGAUGCUCAAUCUGAUGUCGAUGCUCGUCUCUAUGGGUUACUUUACCCAAGUUGAGCAGAAGUUCAUGGUCUCUGGUCAUUCUUUUCUUCCUUGUGAUCGAUCUUUUGCCACCAUCGAGAAGAGGCGCAAGGUGUCAGUCCUUCAUACACCUGAUGAUGUUUCAAAGAUGAUACUUGAAGCACAACCAGCAAAACCAUUCAAGGUGAUGAGGAUGCAAUGUGAAGACUUCAGGCACCUACCAGAUUCUGUCCUCAAGCGACCAGCUGGACUACAGAUCACCUCAGUGAGGUGGUUAAAAGUCACAGUUGAGGAUCCUUGGAAUCUGUACGCCAAACAGAGCCACAGUCUAUUUGAGGGAUGGAAGUCGUGGCUGAUCUCCAAACCAAAACAAGGAGCUACACCUCAACCUCCCUAUUUUGCAAGCCACUACCCUAGAGCAUAUGAGAGUCCUCUGCCCAUCAAAAAAAACAAGUACCAAGAUCUGAUGACCAUGCUCAACUACUUGCCAGCUGCUGCACGCUCUUUUUAUGAAUCACUGCAGAGUGAAUAAUUUGUUGUUAAACCAAUCUACAUAAUUAAACGUUUUUUUCUGUGAGUUUAUGAUCCCCUGAACCUGUAUACUGUAGUAUGUUGAAUCUGUAUAAAUUUCAGAAGACAUGUCACCCCUAUUGUAGGAAAUUAAAUGUAUCGUAGGUGUUUUCUAUGUGAAUCAAUUUGUGUAUGAUUUGAACCAGCACAAUAUAUUGAAUUAAUUUAAUUUUAAGAUGUUGUUCCUAGUGUAGAAAAUGUUAUGUACAAUGUGUUCUGUUGAGAAUUAUUUUGUGUGAUCAUUUGAACCUUUUUUAAUCUGAAUGAAUUAAAAACAAAUAAGUCAUCACAUACAGUAUGUGAGUAUUCAUUUGAUCUUGAUUCCCUUUUUUUAUUCAUUACAAUAUACACUGUCUCUCUGUCACCACAUUUAGCAUUAACUCUAAGCAGUUAAUACUUAUUUACUGCUGUCACCUCAGUGCAGAAGGACAUUUCUUGCCUUUAGCAUGGGUUUAACGCAAUUCACAACGUAAUUGCUGAUCAUAGUGUUAAACGCAAAGAGAAUGGUUUUCUGAACGUUUUGUAAUAUUGACCUUCGGGACCUGCAUAAUGGACAUGCAUAUUGGCACAUCACAUGUAUCCCUAUUUGAUAUUUACAAGUUGUGCUUGUUUUGAUUGAAUUCAUUUAAUUGUAUUCUAUUUUGGUAGUUCUAUGGUAUGUUCACAUUGAGGGCUUCAUUUUAAAUGAGACUAAGAUUUCAUGACUCAACUUUUAAGAAAAGUCAUCAUUGCUAAAGUUGAUAGACCACCUUUAAAUGAACCUCCAUACAAAUGAAUUAACUACAUAUUGCAUUUAAGUUAUUUACAUGAAGGGCAUCGGUACUUGAAAGUACUUAAAACAUCAUAUCAGGUGUUAAAAAAGGACAUCUUACAAGAGUCAUGCAAAAUGUCACAUAUACUGUUCUUCCACAAACUGAAAUCAUCACUGGAGAUAUACUGUUCUUCCACAAACUGAAAUCAUCACUGGAGAUAUACUGUUCUUCCACAUUCUAAAAAUUAAAACGGCAAUAAAAAAAGUAUUAUUUGAAAUAACAAAAAAAUAUAAAUUGUUGUUGGAAGAUAUGGGUAUGGUGAAUUAUUUCUCAACCAUAAAACACCUAAUGUGGUACACACAAUUAAUAAUAUAAAAAUAACUGAUUAUCUUAAAAUGGAAAAAUUGUCACAUAUAUGGUUCUUCGUCUGUAGGGUUCAAUUGGUGGCUGACUAAAUACUUUUUUGCCCCACUGUAUGUACGUAUUUCUUAAUUCUUAGUACUGCCUUAGAUGCUCUUACCGUCACAGUCCGGUGGUUGUGUUCAUUGAUGAUGCCAAUAAUGUACUUGUACAUCAUUGGAUCAAUCUGAAUUUUAAAAGAGCAGGUGAUUGAGUUCAAAAUCUGUCAAAUAUAACAUAUAAUAUAUAAUAUUAUGAGAAUAAUCCAACCAACCUUAAGUUUUGAUUUCUUGCUCCCCCAAAUGCCAGUCAUUUCAAAGGUGUCAAUGUAGAAAGCUUGCUCGGUUGACUGCCUGUUAAAAUUCCACACCAGAUGGAACAUGUAGGCAUUGAU
rnacentral:lncRNA from 13 species